CCUCCUUGGAGGUCAGAAGCCUGAGCUAGGAAAUGCCAAGUCAUGAUGACUGGGCCUUAGAAGCCCCUCUCUUCUGCCUUUCAGACCCUGAUUAUCUCUCUCAGAAGAGCUGUCACUGAGAACCUUUGUGGGGGACACCAAUAAAGAAUUCCUGUGGAAUCUUAUACAGCGCUUCUCCUCUCUCUCCUUGUGUCUGCUGCUGUGGCACCAGCAAGCUGGUGCCAAGCUGGAUGAGGACAUUACUGCUCUGAAAAGUACAACAAAUAGCCUGCAGGGAAUGCCACAAGCUGCUUUUUUCUAUGGCGAGGUAUAGGAUGGUAGCAGCCCAUGGGUAAGUCUGAACUCGAUCUUAUAAUGACCGUGAUAUGUGUGUCAAGUUCCAUUUACAUUUGGAGCAGCAGGGACCUAUGAAGAAAGUUUGAGAGAUUAACUGGAAAUAUGCAAUUUCUAUCUGGAAAUGGGACAGUCAGGAAAAUGUAGUGAGUAUAUUUUGUUGUUCAGCAUUGGAAUGUGAAAAGCUAAAGUCACUAUUUUAUUUAGUAAAUGAGCUUAAUUAAUCCAGUAACUUUGGGGAGUCUGAGGGUUUCAUGCUUAUUUUUUCAAAAUAUUGUGGAAAGCAUUUUCCAUUUUAAUUUAUGUUAAUGGAAGAACCUUAGUUUUUAAUGCUUAGGAAUACUGUCUAUAGUGUCUUCCUGACUUCAAGUGCUACACAGACUGAGAAAUAAUAGCUAUUUCAAUGUUGU